rnacentral:rRNA from 1 species
AUUGAACGCUGGCGGCAUGCCUUACACAUGCAAGUCGAACGGUAACAGGUCUUCGGAUACUGACGAGUGGCGAACGGGUGAGUAAUACAUCGGAACGUGCCUAGUAGUGGGGGAUAACUACUCGAAAGAGUGGCUAAUACCGCAUGAGAUCUACGGAUGAAAGCAGGGGAUCGCAAGACCUUGUGCUACUAGCGCGGCCGAUGGCAGAUUAGGUAGUUGGUGGGAUAAAAGCUUACAAAGCCGAAGAUCUGUAGCUGGUCUGAGAGGACGAUCAGCCACACUGGGACUGAGACACGGCCCAGACUCCUACGGGAGGCAGCAGUGGGGAAUUUUGGACAAUGGGCGCAAGCCUGAUCCAGCAAUGCCGCGUGCAGGAUGAAGGCCUACGGGUUGUAAACUGCUUUUGUACGGAACGAAAAGCCCUGGGUUAAUACCCUGGGGUCAUGACGGUACCGUAAGAAUAAGCACCGGCUAACUACGUGCCAGCCGCCGCGGUAA